rnacentral:rRNA from 1 species
AUUGAACGCUGGCGGCAUGCUUUACACAUGCAAGUCGAACGGCAGCGCGGGCUUCGGCCUGGCGGCGAGUGGCGAACGGGUGAGUAAUACAUCGGAACGUGCCCAGUAGUGGGGGAUAGCUCGGCGAAAGCCGGAUUAAUACCGCAUACGACCUGAGGGUGAAAGCGGGGGAUCUUCGGACCUCGCGCUAUUGGAGCGGCCGAUGGCAGAUUAGCUAGUUGGUGGGGUAAAGGCCUACCAAGGCGACGAUCUUUAGCUGGUCUGAGAGGACGACCAGCCACACUGGGACUGAGACACGGCCCAGACUCCUACGGGAGGCGGCAGUGGGGAAUUUUGGACAAUGGGCGAAAGCCUGAUCCAGCAAUGCCGCGUGUGUGAUGAAGGCCUUCGGGUUGCAAAGCACUUUUGGCGGGAACGAAAAGGACUGUGCCAAUACCACGGUUCGAUGACGGUACCCGCAGAAUAAGCACCGGCUAACUACGUG